GGAGGGGUGCAAGCGUUGUUCGGAAUUAUUGGGCGUAAAGCGCGUGUAGGCGGGCUUGGAAAGUCGGAUGUGAAAUCCCGGGGGCUCAACCCCGGAACUGCAUUCGAAACUGUCUAGCUAGAGUCUCGGAGAGGAGAGCGGAAUUCCCGGUGUAGAGGUGAAAUUCGUAGAUAUCGGGAGGAACACCAGCGGCGAAGGCGGCUCUCUGGACGAUGACUGACGCUGAGACGCGAAAGCGUGGGGAGCAAACAGGAUUAGAUACCCUGGUAGUCCACGCCGUAAACGUUGAGUGCUAGGUGUCGCGGGUAUUGACCCCUGCGGUGCCGUCGCUAACGCAUUUAGCACUCCGCCUGGGGAGUACGGUCGCAAGACUA
rnacentral:rRNA from 1 species